rnacentral:rRNA from 1 species
AUACGUAGGUGGCAAGCGUUGUCCGGAAUUAUUGGGCGUAAAGCGCAUGUAGGUGGUUUUUUAAGCGGGAGGUUUAAGGCUACGGCUUAACCGUAGUUCGCCUCUCGAACUGGAAGACUUGAGUGAAGGAGAGGAAAGCGGAAUUCCUAGUGUAGCGGGGAAAUGCGUAGAUAUUAGGAGGAACACCGGUGGCGAAGGCGGCUUUCUGGACUGUAACUGACACUGAGGUACGAAAGCGCGGGGAGCAAACAGGAUUAGAUUCCCUGGUAGUCCACGCCGUAAACGAUGAGCACUAGGUGUCGGGUCAAAAGGCUCGGUGCCGAAGUUAACGCAUUAAGUGCUCCGCCUGGGGAGUACGUACGCAAGUAUGAAACUCAAAGGAAUCGACGGGG